CCAAGAAAAAAUUACUGAUACUUUAUAAAAAAUUACGCGUAAUAUUUUAUCUUUGGCUGAAAUUUACUACCUUUGCAGAACAAAUAUAAAGCAGGUACAUUUAAACAUUACACGUAAACAAAGGUUUAAAUAAGGGUAUCGCAAGCCAAUCGCUGGCAACGUUACAAUACGAUAGCCUGACACAAAGCGAGGACUUGUAAACAUUACACGUAAUCAAAGGCUAGAAUAAGAAUAUCUCAAGAAUAUUUUUUACAAGAAAGUGCCGAAUUUUCGAGCUAAAUCUUUAAACAUGGGUUUGCUUACUAUAGGACUCACAGUUGCUGGAGGAGCAGUGGCUACAUUUGGUGCUCCUGCAGCUCUUGGCGUCCUUGGAUUUACUUCCGCUGGCAUCGCUGCAGGAAGCGUAGCUUCAUCUUGGAUGGCUACCUAUGGAGGGACAGUGGCUUCUGGAUCUUUAAUUGCAGUCUGCCAAUCUAUCGGAGCUGCUGGUGUCGGUGCGGGUGGAACAGCCGCUGGUGCGGCAAUCGGUGCGAUAACUUCAAUAAUUUUACUCUGAAAUGGAAGGAAACACUGAAGGAGACUUUAAAUGAGAACAUUGAAACAGAUGUUUAAUUGAUUGAAAGUUUAAAUAAAAGAAAUGAAAAUGUAA